GUGAGUUCUUUCAGGCAAAGACAUUAAUCAUACUUUUAUUACUAGUACUAAAUGCACUUCUGUGACCCUAGUCUUUGGUUCAGAAAACCUUGCAGAGGGAAUUUCUAUGUCCUCUGUCAUUUAGUUGCAAUAUUCAGAAUAUUAUUUAAGAUCUGUAAAACUCAAAAGUUUCUUCAUUUGCAAAACCGGGAUAGAGUUGUGAGAAUCAAAUGAGAAUUCUUUUGAUAGGUAAAGUCCUGGGUCUGGCAUCUUGCCAUCGUUAUUAAUGAUGGCAUCAUGAGCCUACGUGUGCUAGGAUUGAGAGAGUGAUUUUGUUUUCACAGCCACCUCCUUAUCCCCAUUUACAGAUGUGGAAAGUAAGUAUCCUCGAGGUUAAAUAUCUUGCUCAGAGUAACCCGUUUAUGAGUGUUAGCAAAGCCAGAAUUGGAAACUGCCUUUUGUGCUGAUUUGACAUCACCUGGUGCUUUGUGACCUUGAGGAAGCUACUUGUCCUCAUCUGACACUGAAAAAAAUGGCCCUCAGGCCUAAACGCCUUCAGCUUUUCUCCACGCUGAACCUUAGAGCAGCUGGGAAAUAAAUGAGUGCAUGCACGAAUAAUAAAAUCAUCCUUUAUGACUUCCCUCACACUACCAUUUAAAGCCCUGCCUUCUCUUCGCCAUCAGCAUUGUCACAGCAGGGUUCUAGGUCUUCAUCCACACAGGCAUGCAGUAUGUACACUCAAGAAAAUAAAUGUGCACAUGUCUUGUUUGUUAAGCGGGGAGCCAGUAUUGUAGGGGAUCCUGUCUUAGCAUUAUCUGUUGAACUGGACUUCCUAACUGAGUAAGCUAUCAGCAGGCACAGAACCUCAGGAAUGUGGGCCGUCUGUGCCUUAUUUGGAUGAUUCAGACCAGAAGCAAAUCCAUCCAAAUUCAACAGUGUCCCAAUCUGGCUAGCCAGAGGUGUUCUGUACCAGCAAGCAGAACUGUGACUUUGGUCAUGUAGCAUAUUAUAAACAAAUGCUUUUCUCAAAAAUGUCUCUGCACAAAAGAGAAUGUAACAGGAAAAAAAAUCAGGUUAUUCAAAACUGUAAAGACAGACUACUUUGGAAGAGGGUAACUUGUCUUGUGUGUGCUCCUUGCCCAGGGCCUGGCUUGGUACUUCUGCCAUCCUGCUUCUGCUGUCAGUGCUGAGUGGAAGUGGCCCCUGCUGGGACCACCAGUGAUUUCUGCAAAUCCAGGGCUUUUUCGAGGCUGCAUCUUCUCUGACACUGCCCUCUGCCAGGUUUCUCCAAUCAGAGCUACACAUUUGGUCUUGUUUUGUUCCUUACCCGCCUGCCGUGGUCAACCUCAUCCAUUCCUGUGGCUCAGACUCUCAGGAUGCCUGCUGAAGUAUUUAGAGAUGAAGCGUUUGUCUGCAGUUUAAUUCUAAAGUUGGCAAGAACUAAAAAGUGAGCAUGUGUAUACAAAAAUACGGAUGCAUGGGACGACAGAGGGAGCAGUGAAGCAAUGUGGCAGUGUUGACAACUGGGACCCAAAGGCUGUGGGGGAGCUCACUGUGCUAUUUUUUAACUUUACAAAGGUUGAACUUUUUAAAAAUAAAAACUGGAGAAAAAAAAUCACCCCAUUAUUUAAUUGUCUGCAAUUGAUCAGCUAUGACAGGG
rnacentral:lncRNA from 1 species